UUUGCGCAUGGGCGAANCCUGNCGCAGCGACGCCGCGUGGAGGAUGAAGGUCUUAGGAUUGUAAACUCCUGUCAGGUGGGAAGAAAAGCUUAUUUCUAAUAAAUAUAGGUAAUGACUGUACCAUCAGAGGAAGCACUGGCUAACCUCGUGCCAGCAGCCCCGGUAAUACGAGGGGUGCAAGCGUUAUUCGGAAUCAUUGGGCGUAAAGGGUGCGUAGGCGGUUUGUUAAGUUUAUUGUUUAAUCCUCCGGCUUAACCGGAGAAAUGCGAUGAAAACUGGCGAGCUAGAGGGUGAGAGAGAGAAGUGGAAUUCCCGGAGUAGCGGUAAAAUGCGUGGAUCUCGGGAGGAACACCAAUGGCGAAGGCAGCUUCUUGGCUCAUUCCUGACGUUGAGGCACGAAAGCGUGGGGAGCAAACAGGAUUAGAUACCCUGGUAGUCCACGCCGUAAACUAUGAUCACUAGACGUUAGUCCGGUUUACUGGAUUAGUGUCGUAGCUAACGCGUUAAGUGAUUCGCCUGGGGAGUACGGUCGCAAGGCUAAAACUCAAAAAAAUUGACGGA
rnacentral:rRNA from 1 species